UCGGCGACUUUGUGGACGUGUUUUUGGUUCGCCGCACUCAAACCUGGAGAUUUCACGAUGAGACAUCACUGCAAAAGAUGCCAGAAAAAGUUUACAUCAUUGGACACGUUCUUCAAGCACACAUUAUAUCAUGAAACGUCAUCAAGAGGUGUUCCAUGCAGCGUUGUCGGCUGUGAGGCUGCAUUCAAAAAUUACAACUCAUUGCGAAGCCACAUCACAAGGUGUCAUUCUCCGCUUGCACCUCGUAAUGCAACUAACUUCCAAUCCUGCCGGACAUGCAGUGUUAGUUCCUGCAGUGAAGAGGCUUACAGGUGUCUGUCUGGACGGAAAAUUGAGCCUGCCCAAAGAUGUCCUCCUCCUCGUGACAUUCCUACGUUCAAGCCCCAAAAAUGAUGCUGUGCUCGAGUGGAGCCUCAAAAUCAACAAGGCCGAGGCAGAGUUCAAAGAUCAAAACGCAGCAGCUGUCUGCCUCCUCCCAUUGCUUGCAUCCUACUUUCAAGAAAACCUCGGAGAGCUCUUCCAGUUACAUCAGGUGACAACAGAAAUCACAGAGGAGUUUCGUAACAGUCUGCCUGCUUCUCCUGUAAUUGUUGCACUGGGCCGCUCACUUUUCGAAUGCAGCUGCCAGCUGUUUGUGGACCAUGAGGUGAUGGUGGAGGAUGUGGGCUUUCUCCAAGCUGUGGAGCUCCUUUUCGCCCUUUAUUAUUGUUUAAACAUCCAGUAUGCCAAAGGUGCGGGAACCACACUUGAGUUCAUUCAGAGAUACCAAGUUGGUAUCAAAGAACAUGACGGGUCACGACAGGAGGCCGGGAGGUCGAAAGGAGCUCGGGCAAGAGCAAUCAAAGCCGUCACAGAUCUUGCUGCUUUUGAGAAAAAAUGGAACAGUGUGAGUACAUAUUUGAUUUGGCAUGUGUACGAUGUGGUAUCAAAAGGUUUCCAGUCUUGUUUUGUAUUAAAAAGAAAAGCAAAUAGCGGCACAACACUGCAUUCACAGGGGUCGAGGGCAGCAACCUUGAUCUGUCAUGGUGCUGAGUGGCUCAAUGUGGCAAUGCACAGCUCAUCUGAUGAUCGAUCGGAUGCCAUGAAGGUUUCUUUAUAAUUAUGUUCUUUUACGGUUUACAAUAUAGUUCUUCAAUUUCAAAACUGCCUCCGUUUUGUCGUGUCCCUUUUUUCAGACACACUACACUUGUUUAUAAGGAUUUGUCGUUAUAUUACGGAACU